CAAUUACGGCUGUCAUUUGCGUUUCAAUACUUGCCGUCAGGGGCCGGCCCAGUCGACGGCGGAACAGGAAACCCCGGGACCCGAGGCGACUGGCUCCCGGUGGCUGCGGAAGCCCACGCCUCACCGCUGGCUGCUCUGGGGAAGCUGCAGAAGUGCUCUGGGGAGCGCGCUCUCAGCACGGCUGCAGAGGGGUCCCGGGGACCCCACCACACUCCAGGUUUGUUCUGAGCCUGGGUCUACACUGAGGCACCCGAAAAGAGGAAUGUCUGACUUUUGAAAGCCCGAAGUCAAUAAUAGUCACGGCAAUGUGAACGCAAUAGAAAGUUUAGCUGCUGAGCCUGACAGCAGACAAGAGACAAGUAGGGGAAGUAGCAGGGGUUACCGCAAUAUAUUAUUGUGAAAUCAAGGCAGGCACUGUCUCCAAAUGCAAACACAGCAGAUCCUUAAAUCACUGCUCUUUUAUGCACUUAGAUUUCCACACAGGGGGUUUACCCAUCUACAACUCGGCCCUAAAAAGUGUAGGGGACACGUGGAUUUUCUUAGGCAAUCCUGAGUUGAAAUAUCUAAAAAUUAUAUUUAUAUCCUAUCGUCAAAUGAUAUAGGUUUGUAAUAAAUGUGUAGUCACAAAUUUUAUUUUUAAAAAUUUAAAAAAUUUAUUAUUUUUUUUAAAGUUUCCUUGAAGGCAUAAUUCUGAUGGGAAUUUUUUAAUAAUUAAAUCAGAAACAAAACCUUUGCCAGGUCAUGUGUCCCAAUUUUUGCUUUUUGAAAAGAUGUUGUUUCUGGUUGCUCAGUGAGUCCUAAACACAAAAGGCCUCAUCUUUUCAAAUAUUUUAUUUACUUGGACUUCCUGGAUCAAAUCUAUACCACUGAUCACUGCAUUAAGGCGUUUAUCCCGGAGGUUUAAACCUCUCCUGUUUGCAGAGGAAGCAUCUGAGCCAGAAUGUAUUAAGCUAGCCUGAGACGUCCUUUGGAAUACACUUGGUCUACUUUAGGGAUAUACACAUUUUAAACCCUGAUUAUGGGAAGAAAGGGGGAAAGGGUGAGAGGCUGAGGAACAGACCGAGCCUUUUACAACCAAGCUCCUCAAUGCACCACAGCUGACUGUCAGGGGGAAGGCAGAGUGCACCAACACGCAGGGCAGAAUAUCAGCUAGCUGGGUGGUAAGCGAUCUCUGGGUUGUCAGCAUCUUCGUUUUCCCAGCUGAAUAGCAGUGAGAUUGUCCUGCUCACCCUGCAGUUAGCAGCAAGCUCCCCCUGACAUUCCAUCCUCUGAAGCCCCAGCAACCACCGGGGAGGAGGGCUGGCAGCUGAGGCCAUGCCAGAAGAGACCUGUUCUAGCUGGAUCCACACACUCCAGUCUCUGGGUCUAAAAUAAGACUCUUAACUUCUCUGCCAAUGAGCUUCACCAGGCCCGAUGACGUUAACGUGUGCUGUCAGCUCUAUUUGCAGGCAAGGUCCCUGUUCACCAGGAUUUCAUCCAGUCAUCACCCUGACCCGUCUCUGAUGCAAGAGGGCACUUCAAAAGAUGCAGAGCUCCUAAGAUAGCCAGUGGCCAGAGUGUGAACUUCCUAAUUAAGGACCUACACAAAACCAAAAGUCAUUUUCUGGAGAAACAAGUUCCUCUUCUCUGGGAACUGUGAGCGGCAGCCCAGUGGAGGUUUGGAAGCCUGCCACAGAUGGCCAAGAACAAAACCCAGGCCAGUCAGCAGGGCGGAUCUGAGCCCACAUCCAGAGAUGAGCUGCCUCACCACAGCCCUGCUGCUGCCACCAGCUGUCCGAGGAGCUACCUCUAGGGGCCGGGUGGGGAGCCCCACCUUCCUCAAACAAUGUCACAAAGUCCCUGGUAGUUGCCGUGCAACCUACCUUUCUUCACUCUCUGUGGUCAGAUUCUGUUCUGACUCAGUGAAGAACAUUUGCUUCCACCUUGUCUGUUCCCAGACACGUCAGUCACUCUCCCCAACUUCCACAGAAUCAGUGGAACCACCAGCCCCAGAUCCUCCAAGAUCAUACUCAGAACUCAGCCUGGAGCCCCAGUUCUUCCCUGGGCAUCUCUGCAGACAGGCCAAACCCACAUAUCGAAAGCCGAAUCCAUUAGCUGCCUCUCCAAUGUGACCCUUCUGUGUAUGACACCAGCUGCACUUGGGGUUGGGAGGUCAUGCUUGACUGCCUCCUCUCAUCUCCUACACCCAACUGCAAGCUUUCUGAGUUUUACUUAAUAAACAUUUCUCAAAUCCAGCUUCCAGAAUCCAGAGAUACGGCCACGGUCCUAGGUUAAGCCUAAACCUGUCCUCUUCAUUAACCACCUUCCCCCUCUGCCAGGAGGGGCCUAAUACAUACAUCUAACUCCACUGUCCAGUGACCCCCCUGGCCCGCCCCCCGAGCCCCCCAGCAUGAUCUUCAGGAACCGGUGUUCCCGUCCCCUGUCACCCACAGUCACUGCCUGCAGUGUGGACCUGCUCUCGGCACCUGCCUCACGAGGAUGCCUCCCGCCUCUGUGCUCUUGCUCAGGCCCCUCUCACCCCUUCGCCCAGCUAAUAACUAUGGCAUUGCCCAGGCAUCUUCCUUUGCUUCUCCUCCUCCAGCCAGGCUACGUGCCGUUGCUCAGGGCUCCUAUAAUGCUCACACACGUUUCUAUCACUGCAUCCAGUCCCUCAAAGCCAACCUGGGGGGACUGUGCAGUAUUUCUGCUUGUGGUCUCAGUACCCAUCACACACAAAGUGGUGCCUGUCACACCCAGUAGGCCUCAGCAGCUGGGAUUCUGUAUUGGCACUGCAGGACUACCGGCUAAUACCGUCCAUCACCACAGCGCAAUCAACACUUUAGUCUGAAUUAGAUCCGUUUUGGUGUUAUCUAUUUAAAGUAGACAGACGCCUAGACACCAAAGGACUGUGUCUACGUAACAGAUUUUGUCUGGCAACUUAUGUACUUUGGGUAGUUAAUGUGAUGGAGUUGACGAUGAUGACGAUGACAGUGACGUCAACCGUGACAGGAAACUGGAGAUGAUUAGACGUCCUUUUAUUCUCUGAGGCUGUGCAGUUGCUUAAAACGGUACAUGAUGACUCACAGAAUGACAGCUCACUUGUCCCGAAACCUUAACUAACCGGAAUACAGCCCGGAACCUCAGUCAGACACACUUCUGAAAAGCCAAAAGAUCAGCAAGUGCGCACGCGAGAGCUUAAAGAGAUCCCUUUUUAGGGGUCAUCUGGUCUGCACUCAGAACCUAUUUGUUCUUCCUUUAACUCUACCUCCGAUCAUCUGUGCCAUCUCCGUCCUCAGUCACGGCAAGUCAGAUGUAAAAUGUGAGGCGGGUGAGGUGGAAAGAGGCUCCCAGGGACCAACACGGUGGUGGUGGCACAAGACUCACCAGGUGCAAAAGCAGAGACAAACUUCAAAGGAAACAAAGUACACAGCAGUCUGGCAGUCUGGGGACAGUUCCUGUUUAAGGACAAUGAGUUCCACACAUGUUAAUAGACCCUAAUGACACAUCACACAUGAGAGGUACAGUAUUUACCCUCAUACUGAUGACUGAGAUAGCAAAAGAGAGCUGAAAUCUGUCCAAUAGUCUCUACUUGCAGGCAAAAGGAAGUGGGGAAUAUUUUAAGAAGGAUUUCUAUCAAAGCGUUUGGGUGUUUAGGGGCACCUGGGUGGCUCACUCAGUUAAGCGUCCCACUUUGGCUAAGGUCAUGGUCUCACUGUCCAUGAGUUCAAGCCCCCCAUCGGGCUCUGUGCUGACAGCUCAGAGUCUGGAGGCUGCUUCAGAUUCUGUGCCUCCCUCUCUCUGUGCCCCUCCCCUGCUCACACUCAGUCUCUCUCUCUCUCUC